rnacentral:rRNA from 1 species
AUGCUUCGAGAAAAUGAUGAUCCAUGUGUAAUUCUUAAAAAACUGUCUGCACACCAAGAAUGGCGUCGCCUCCUUUUAAGGCUUCUAUUGUUGGACAGGGACCUCCUGAGAGCCAAUGAGAUCUGCUCGUGUAAUGGUCCAUCAACUUGCCUCCAGCGCGCACAUAGAAGACCAGCGGUAUUGCAACGCAAAUCCUUAAAUGAGAAGGGAGAAGGCCACAUGGUGCGGGCCUCUGGGGCAGCAUACCAUGACUGCAUGACGGAGGUUCUGAAGUGUUUUAUUUUAACAGUAGAAUUGUUUCUUGCUUGCUGA